rnacentral:pre_miRNA from 1 species
UAUUAAAAAUUUAAUCCAUUUGUCUUGUUAAAAAUUGACGUAGAUGAUGAAAUAAUUAGACAAUAAUAUGUGGCAUAUCAUAUGUACCUCAUGCUAACAUAUAAAGAUUAUUUUUUAAUCGUAAAAAUAGAUACAAAUUUUAAUA